UAUAACUUCUAAGUUUAACUCAAAUUAAUAUUCAUUGUACAAAUCACUAUGUUACUCCUAUGGUUUUUUUCCUUAGUACUAGUACUUACUAUAAAUUGGUAUUUCAUAUUUACAUGUUGCAGACUAUUGCUUCAGCAAUGGCUAUAUUAACGACAUUAUUUCGCAUCCCUACAAGUUCGACGGAGUAGACAUAGCUUUGCACUAUGUGUCUUUUCUAAGGCUGUGAUAUUUUAUGAUUCUCAUUUGUGGCAAUUAGUGGUAAAAUAAAUAGAGACACACUCUGCCUCCUUAUGAAGGUUCACGGGGCUUUUUUUGUUCAGAUUUAUAAGG